ensembl:lncRNA
GGUGCCCGGUCAUUCAGCUGUUCAGCACCCAGGCUCUGGAACUCCCUCCCCCCACACAUAAAACAGUCAGACACCAUUUCAACCUUCAAGUCACAACUCAAAACUCACUUGUUCAAACUCGCACACAACGUCUAACUGAUCACUGUUUUGAUUGUUUUUUUUAAUUUUUUAUUUCUUAUUGCUUAUGUUUAUUUAUUUAUUUAUUUUUUCCACAAUGUCUUGCUUUUUAAAAAAUGUAUGAUGACUAUAUGCUCUGUAAGGUGACCUUGGGUGUCUUGAAAGGCGCCUCUAAAUUAAAUGUAUUAUUAUUAUUAUUAUUAAAGGAAAGACAAGGACUUAAAUACCAAACACAGGGCACACAACGAGUAACAGCUGAAACACAUUAGGGGAGGGAGCAGUAAUCACACAGGAGGGAAACUUGACCAGACAUGGGGAGAAACAAGACAGGGGUACGAAAGUAAAACAGGAAACGCAGGGAAACACAACAAAACAAGACAAGGGGCCCGUUUCAGAAAGCAGGUUAAACAAACUCUAAGCUAAAACCUUAAGUCUAGGUUGACCAACUCUGAGCUGUAAAACUCUGAAUUUUCGGUUUCAGAACAGGUGAUAACGCUUAGUUCAAUCAACUCUGAGUCAAGGUAACUCUGAGUGAAGCUUGUGCAUGAGGAUAUAAAAAGCCCUCAUCAAUGGAACACAGAUGACAUGAUUCACCAUGGCAACAAGUACUAGCAAGCCUCGUUCCUCCUACUUCUCCCCAGCGGAGUUGCAAAUCUUAAUGACUGCAUAUGCAGAAAGCGAGCAUAUCUUUUUACUCAAAAGCAAUACUAUGGCAGCAGCCAAAAAGCGGGAGCUUGCGUGGGAAAAAAAAACUGACCGAGUCAAUGCGUGAGUAUUUAUUUGAGAAAAAUAAAAUGUUUUCUCUUGAAUGUUCCACUUAUUCAACAAUUAUAUUCCAUUCGAGUGUUUGUGCGCACAGGUGCAACCCAACAGGCCCCAAACGGACUUGGCAGCAACUAAAAAUGAAAUAUAAAAAUGUAGUUGAAACAGAAAAAAGGCAGAGGCACGCAAAACAGGUGGCGGUCCACCACCACCACUUCUCACAGAGGCUGAAGAGAUGGCCCUCAGUCACAACAGUGGGCGACCCAUUGCUGAGGGCAUCUCUGGGGGGAGCUCAUUGGACCCAGCCACGCCCCAGGACACAGGGGCCUACAUAAGAGUUACUGAUGAUGGUGUAAUCUGUCUCGUGGAGCCUUCUGCCAUAACACACCUCCAUGCUGUUGAGGAUGGUGAAGACACCUUAUCAGCUGCCACAGAGAGGGAAGAUGCAGAGAGGCCUGUUGAGAGCAAUGCCGGAAGUUACAAUGAGGAAGAAGGUCCAUCAACCUCCACAGCACAGCUUACCUCACUCCCUGUGAAACAACUUUACAAAGUAUAUUUAGAAUCCCAAAUAAACAAAUCACACCUAGAAAUGGAGCACAUAAGGCUGCAGAUCACCAAAACAAAAAAGGAAAUACAGCUGCUGGACCAUCAGUUAAAGGUCGGUGACGUGCCCACAGGUGGAUGUUUUGACAUCCUUAAUUGUUUCGACAACAAAGGAUUAACAACUGUACAACAUUUGCCGUUCUAGGAAAUAAGGAAGACCCCAUAAAAUGAGGCAUAAUGUCGUUCUUUGACACUGGGGAGGUGAUUGGUCAGUUAGAAAUGAUUGAAGCAUAUCAUGUCUCUAAAAGCUCUUCCAUCUCGUGCAUCUCGUGCAUCAGCAGGGGGGUCAGGAUUAUUAUCUGGAUCAUUGGGGGAAAGAGUAGGACAUUGUUCACCUCUAAUAGUGGCAAUGUUGUGGAGAACCACACAUGGCACUAUAAUGUCACAAGCCCUUUCCGGGGUGACCCUGAGCCUACGAAGGCACUGGAACCGGGCCUUGAGUAUGCCGAUGGUCAUCUCCACUCUGGCUCGUGUCCUGCAGUGAGCCAAGUUGUAGUGUCUCUGUGGGCCAGGGUCAGGGUAAGGGGUCAGCAGAUAGCGCUGGCAGGGGUACCCUCUGUCUCCGAGUAGAUAACCAUCAAACUCUCCUAUGAUAAUACAAAAUACACUUUAUUGUUUCAGUUGCAAUAGGAGGAAACAAAAUAUUGAUCAUAGGAUAUAACUAUAUACUGGAUAUAUAAACUAUAUAUAUAAACUCACCACGGGCAAAUCUGGCACUAGUGUAGACUCAUGAAACAUUCGUGAGUCAUGCACAGACCCAGGCCACUUCGCUUCCACAUUAUUUAUCAUGUGGGCUGCGUCACAUAUGAUCUUCACAGUGGAGAACAGUAAUUAGCUGUAUAGUGAAGUAUAUUUCAUUUGGAAUGUUAAAGGCUACUAUUUAGACCUACCUGUACACAGUGGUGGGUAGUAACGCAUUACAAGUAAAAAAGCAAAUGAGUAAAAAAGUAAAUUUUCGGGUGACGAGUACUUUUCACGUUCCUUUUUUAAGUCUGUAAUUUUACUCUUACUCAAGUAAAUAUUUGAUUUAGAAUUCUACUCUGUACUCAAUUACAUUUUCCAUUGUGCUUUCAUUAAAAUGACUAUUUUGAUAAAAACAUUAUCUUCGUUGACUGUGAUACAAGCGUACACGAUAGCGACGCGUUUUCCCUAGGUUGCAACGUGAGUCGACCGUUACGUUGGGACUGAGGACUAGAAACGGACGCGCAGGAAGAUAUUUUCGCCAGUGGGUGCAGAGUUACGGUCCACGUAGGCUAUAGUUUAUAUAAUUCUAAAGAAACUAUGUUACACUGUAUUCUGCAGACCACUCACAAACUUGUUCGUCAUUGUCGUGUCUGGCUCUGUGAGCGUCCGUGCAUGCUAUGUGCGUAGGCUGGAUAAAUAUGAUUGCUCAAUCAGCCAACCAAGUCAGUCUCGUUUGUGUUUAAUUGGUUGUGUUCCUACAAAGCUCUUGCCUUUUGUCACAUGCACAGAGCUUAAUGCAAAUUUGUUUGAAAUUAAAUUACAUUUUUUGUUGUACAUAUUGCAUUUGUUGUACAACUUGUGAAGAAAUGUUUUAGGAGUGCAUCUCUUUCUCUCCCUCACUCACUCACGCAGCCGCGUGCCGUCCAUAUGUAUGGCAAGCCAUCCCCGCCAGAAAACGGCAUCAUUUAGACGCGUAUCACCUUCAUUACGC